rnacentral:rRNA from 1 species
UACGAAGGGGGCUAGCGUUGCUCGGAAUCACUGGGCGUAAAGGGCGCGUAGGCGGAUCUUUAAGUCGGGGGUGAAAGCCUGAGGCUCAACCUCAGAAUUGCCUUCGAUACUGGAGAUCUUGAGACCGGAAGAGGUGAGUGGAACUGCGAGUGUAGAGGUGAAAUUCGUAGAUAUUCGCAAGAACACCAGUGGCGAAGGCGGCUCACUGGUCCGGUACUGACGCUGAGACGCGAAAGCGUGGGGAGCGAACAGG